rnacentral:lncRNA from 1 species
GAUUCAAAUUUCAGAACCAUGCUAGAGUCCAUGUGCCAGGGUCAAUUCAUGUACAAGAAACCCAUUGAAGCUUGACAAUUUCUAGAAGACCUAGCUGAGAAGAAUUUACAAUAGAAAAUAACUAGAGAACCUGAGAGACCAACACCUUCAAGGGAGGAAUGCACCAAAUUCAGACUUUCCUAGCUGUAGAGGCCAAAAUUGCAACCUUAGUACGUAGGUUAAAGGCCUUAGAGCUGCAG